CCUGUUGGUCCACAAUUGCGUGUACGAUUGAAUCAGCCUUGAACGAUAGCAGGUCUUUCCUCCAUGGCCUCUGCCAGUGCAGCAUGUGUGAAGGAAGUCCAGAAUGUGGUGGCCAGGACCAGCUCAGGCAGGGGUUCUUGGGGGAGAGACGUCGAGAGUGUGAAGGAUGUGAUGAAGUCAAGUAUAAAGCCUUCUGGGACAAAUUGAACGAGGACUUUCUGAAUGUCUUUCAAUAAGAGAGGUAUUAAUACUAUGUAUGAUAUACAUACGUAUAUGUCUGCGAGGCUGGGUUCGAUGGAGCUUUCACUGUGUGCUGCGUCUGCGAGGGUGAGUCGGGCGGCGCCGUGGAAGUCCAUAGCGGGGGUAUUCCCUUCUGCCGCCUGCAUGGGACAACGAGUCUGUCGGGGACCCUGAGGACUUGUGGAAACUGUGUGGUGGCUUCUUUUGAACUUAUAGUCUUUUAACAUCUUUGGACUAUGGACUAUGCCCAUGGUCUGUUUUUUUUUAAUCAAUUAUGCUAUUAUUUGCACUGUUGUAACUAUAUGUUGUAACUAUGUGAUUUUGAGCAGGUCUUGUAGCUUUAGUUUUUGGUCUUGUUUUGUCUGGUGGGAUUGGGGCUUCUUUCCGGGAAACGUGCUAAGAUGGUAGCACGAUAUUAAUAUGCAGCAGCCUCUCCGGACACUGGAUUGGGGAUUGCCAACCAUUAUGUGGAUUUUCUGGUGUAGUCUGU